rnacentral:misc_RNA from 1 species
UUAAGUUCAGCGGGUAGUCCUACCUGAUUUGAGGUCAGAGUCAAAAGUGCCCAAUGGCGAUUGUAAGCAGACAUCACACCUUCACCGACGAAACUUAUUACGUCGACUAUGGUGCUAUCCUGCUAAGUCUUUUAAGGUGAGCCAGAAGAGGCAGACACCCAAGUCCAAUCUCCUCGGAAACCCGAGGGAUUGAGUCUACA